AUUUUAAGCCUAUCAGUGAAGUUGGCAUUGAAAUGUUUGCUGGAACAACAGUGAAUGCUCCAUCGUUUUUUUAUACAGUUUAAUUUUUUUUUUAAAGAUCAUAUUUUUUAACGAUGUGUACAUACAUGUAUAUUGAAAACCAAAUAUCAUUGUCUUAAAAUGUUUGAGACAACAAAGGCUUCCGUUUUGAAUAUUGGGAUAUAUCUCAUAUACAGUACAUAGAGUGUACAUUUACAACAAAUUAUAGAGUGUACAUGUACAACAAACUUACAGAGUGUGCAUGUACAACAAACUGUAUAUGUACAACAAACCUGUAGGAUGUACAUGUACAACAAACAUAGAGUGUAUGUGUACAACAAACUUAUAGAGUGUAUGUGUACAACAAACCUUUAGAAUGUACAUGUGUACAACAAACCUUUAGGAUGUACAUGUACAACAAACUUAUAGUGUAUGUGUACAACAAACCAUAAGUAUGUACAUGUACAACAAAUGUCAAUGAUUUGUGUUCCUCAUUUCUGUGAAUAAUUGUAUAUAGAGCCAACACUGACAGACUGGCAGUGAACAAAAAUCAUGUACCAUAGAUGAGCUUUUUUUAUUGUUUACAACAAUUCAAACUUCUUUAAAUGUAUGCAAGUGAAAAUGAAAAGUGCUGACUUGUGGGGCUAUGUUGUAAAUGGAAGAGAAAAUGUUGUAGAUGCAAUACCAAAAUAAAACUUGAAAG
rnacentral:misc_RNA from 1 species